UACAGAGGGUGCGAGCGUUGUUCGGAAUUAUUGGGCGUAAAGCGUGUGUAGGCGGGCGGGUAAGUAACUUGUGAAAUCCCACGGCUCAACCGUGGAACUGCUGGGUAUACUGCCUGUCUUGAGCCAGCCAGGGGCAGUCGGAACAGACGGUGGAGCGGUGAAAUGCGUAGAUAUCGUCUGGAACGCCAAAGGUGAAAACAGACUGCUGGGGCUGUGCUGACGCUGAGACACGAAAGCCAGGGGAGCGAACGGG
rnacentral:rRNA from 1 species